GACAGAUUGGGCAUCAGUCAGCGGGUGAGAGAAAGUGCUGCCUCUUCUGUUAACAUGUAACUUCAAGACACAUGAGAUUUUUCAAGGACAGUACACAAGCCCUGAGACAAAACUCAUCCUUUCAAGUGGCUGGUUCUUAAAGACCUCCUAUUAAGAAUUCAGGUGCAGGUGGAUUAAGCUGAUGACAGCACGACACAUGGAACUUGGGUGUCACUAGAGGAGUCUUUUGGCAGGCAGACAAUCCAGCUGUGAGCUGCAAGCACCUGCCUGUGCCCCUGCACCCCACCACCAUGCAGUGCAGGUGGAUCUCAUGUGCUGCUUGCACACCAGGAUCCACUACAGCGGCUCCAGAUUUUCCCCCUCCUCCACAGCUGUCACUAGCUUCCAGCAGACAGUUUACAAGGGAAAAGAACAAUACAAACCCAAAACCCAGAUGUUUAGAGUAGACUCUCUGAUGCCUGAAGAACCAAGACUAAAGAGUCAAGACAAAAGUUUUGGCAAGUUCAUCCCAGGGCACUGUUUGCCUUGGGAAAAGUGAGGUCAACCUACACCAUCAUUUUAUAUCCCUGAGUGUAAUUUGUCCAUGUCUUACAUCCCCUUGUGCUAAGCACCUUGCACUAAGCACAGACACCAUGUGCCAGCACCCAGGUUGGUGUCACAACGACCUCGACCAGCAGUGAUACCACGCAGCAGUCCCUAGAAGGGAUUACUGUGGCCCUCCAUGGAAUCAAAUGGCAGGUGGUCUUUUGGAGUGGGCAUGGAACAUUGUAUGUGAGGGAGAGCUGCAAGCUCUCACCGCCCAAUUUGUCCCUUGAUUUCAUUUCUCAGGUGAACAGUGAGAGCUGGAUAACCACAACGCUUCACCCUCUUAUGGUGAAAUUGAAAGAGGAAGUAUUCUGUGUUGAAAAAACACAUCAGCAUUGCAAGUUUCCCAUGCAUUUGUGCAACUAUCCAAAAGCAUUUAAUGUAGUUUUCAGCAGCUGUCCCCAGGCUGACAGAGAUGGGCACCUGGGCUCGCAGUCUAAGAGUGCAAUGGAGAAAGUUACAAGGUCCUUUGCAUGGUAAUGGAUGAUAUUUUUUAUUUUUCUAAAGUAAAACUCACUUUUCUCAUCCUGGCAACAUCAUCUUAACACUGAACAACCUAAAUCGCUUUUGAUUCACAUGAUGUCAUACUUUUAAAUAUCCAUUCUUUUACACAUAGUUUACAUGUAUGCUCUCUGUUGACACUCCCACCAAAUAAAAAUUA